CAUGGGGGCACCCUGAUCCAGCCAUGCCGCGUGUGUGAAGAAGGCCUUUUGGUUGUAAAGCACUUUAAGCAGUGAAGAAGACUCCAUGGUUAAUACCCAUGGACGAUGACAUUAGCUGCAGAAUAAGCACCGGCUAACUCUGUGCCAGCAGCCGCGGUAAUACAGAGGGUGCAAGCGUUAAUCGGAAUUACUGGGCGUAAAGCGAGCGUAGGUGGCUUGAUAAGUCAGAUGUGAAAUCCCCGGGCUUAACCUGGGAACGGCAUCUGAUACUGUUAGGCUAGAGUAUGUGAGAGGAAGGUAGAAUUCCAGGUGUAGCGGUGAAAUGCGUAGAGAUCUGGAGGAAUACCGAUGGCGAAGGCAGCCUUCUGGCAUCAUAUUGACACUGAGGUNCGAAAGCGUGGGUAGCAAACAGGAUUAGAUACCCUGGUAGUCCACGCCGUAAACGAUGUCUACUAGUCGUUGGGUCCCUUGAGGACUUAGUGACGCAGCUAACGCAAUAAGUAGACCGCCUGGGGAG
rnacentral:rRNA from 1 species